rnacentral:rRNA from 1 species
ACGUCAAGUACUCGAACGUAUUAAGUUCAAGCCUUCCUCCCUACUGAAAGUGCUUUACAACCCUAGGGCCUUCUUCACACACGCGGCAUGGCUGGAUCAGGGUUGCCCCCAUUGUCCAAGAUUCCCC